rnacentral:misc_RNA from 1 species
UUCUCUGCUCUUUCUGCUGAUGAGGAGGUGGAAUUUGGUAAUGUUUACAUUAUGUUUCCUAUGAAGAGAGUGAAUUCCGUUGUCACUGCAGCUGAUAUGGCUGCACUUUUCAUGGCUGCAAAUUCAGCUGCUAAGCGUGUAUCUGGAGGGAAUAAUAGUAAUAAGGUCAGUGUCUUGCCGGAGGCCAGCAGUUCCCUGCAGGGCAGUGAAGAUGGAGGGUCAAGAUUAGGUAGUUCUGAGGAGGAGAUUGAAGGGUUUCCAAUGCCGGAAUUCAAGUACAGGUUAUCUGUGCGUAGGUCAAGGAAAUCCAUGUUAGAGACCAUAAAAGAAGAACCAGUUCGUUCAAGAUAAGAUUAAUCAUACGCACGAAUCUUGUUUUCUUGAAUCUUUCUCCCAUUUUUUUUAGCAAACAGAGAGAUUUCUUAGGGAUAUGACUUUGAUGGAUUUUGUGUGUACCCAUAUGAUAUGAGAACUGCUGAUCGAAUUAAGUAGCUAGAGAGAAAAAGAAGAAAAAUGUGGAAGCACUUAUAGGUUGUGUUUGACCUGAUUAAAUUGUAAUCAUUCAUAUAAAUUUGUUUAUACUAUAGGAAAUUAAGAGAUGGUGGAUUAAUUUCUCUGUAAUAUAUAUUCCAUAUUAUAUGACGAGCAUUGUGAUUUGCUAGUACAAAAUUAUGAGAGAAUGUUUUUGGAUUCUGGCG